GGCUGGAUGGCUUAGUCGCUGGAGCAUGAGACUCUUAAUCUCCAGGUCAUGGGUUCGAGUCCCGCACUGGGUU